CCUCCGACUCUGUCGUAUUAGUGCUUUUAGUCAUGCAUAUUUUAAUUCAUGACAGUUAGUCCAUUUUCUUGUAAAGUAUUUGUAAUAUAACAACAGCAACUGGCCACAUACGACAUUAGGGUAUUUAUUACCGAUAGAAUUUAAGCAACAGAUAUUAAGAAAAGUGGCUUA
rnacentral:misc_RNA from 1 species